GUAGAGUAGGUAUUACGCGUUAAGUGUCAUGGGAUGGGAAGUUGUCCAUGAACGAAGGCAGCCAAAGGCUCCACGAUGUAAUAUUGCGUCCGCUA
rnacentral:ncRNA from 1 species